GUCGACGAAGUUUCGAGGAAGCUUGCUUCCAAGAGACUUAGUGGCGAACGGGUGAGUAACACGUAGGUAACCUGCCCAUGUGUCCGGGAUAACUGCUGGAAACGGUAGCUAAAACCGGAUAGGUAUACAGAGCGCAUGCUCAGUAUAUUAAAGCGCCCAUCAAGGCGUGAACAUGGAUGGACCUGCGGCGCAUUAGCUAGUUGGUGAGGUAACGGCCCACCAAGGCGAUGAUGCGUAGCCGGCCUGAGAGGGUAAACGGCCACAUUGGGACUGAGACACGGCCCAAACUCCUACGGGAGGCAGCAGUAGGGAAUUUUCGUCAAUGGGGGAAACCCUGAACGAGCAAUGCCGCGUGAGUGAAGAAGGUCUUCGGAUCGUAAAGCUCUGUUGUAAGUGAAGAACGGCUCAUAGAGGAAAUGCUAUGGGAGUGACGGUAGCUUACCAGAAAGCCACGGCUAACUACGUGCCAGCAGCCGCGGUAAUACGUAGGUGGCAAGCGUUAUCCGGAAUCAUUGGGCGUAAAGGGUGCGUAGGUGGCGUACUAAGUCUGUAGUAAAAGGCAAUGGCUCAACCAUUGUAAGCUAUGGAAACUGGUAUGCUGGAGUGCAGAAGAGGGCGAUGGAAUUCCAUGUGUAGCGGUAAAAUGCGUAGAUAUAUGGAGGAACACCAGUGGCGAAGGCGGUCGCCUGGUCUGUAACUGACACUGAGGCACGAAAGCGUGGGGAGCAAAUAGGAUUAGAUACCCUAGUAGUCCACGCCGUAAACGAUGAGAACUAAGUGUUGGAGGAAUUCAGUGCUGCAGUUAACGCAAUAAGUUCUCCGCCUGGGGAGUAUGCAC
rnacentral:rRNA from 1 species